rnacentral:rRNA from 1 species
UACGGGGGGAGCAAGCGUUGUUCGGAUUUACUGGGCGUAAAGGGCGCGUAGGCGGCGUGACAAGUCACUUGUGAAAUCUCCGGGCUUAACUCGGAACGGUCAAGUGAUACUGUCGUGCUAGAGUACAGAAGGGGCAACUGGAAUUCUCGGUGUAGCGGUGAAAUGCGUAGAUAUCGGGAGGAACACCAAUGGCGAAGGCAGCUCGCUGGGACGGUACUGACGCUGAGACGCGAAAGCGUGGGGAGCAAACAGG